GAUGAACGCUGGCGGCGUGCCUAUUACAUGCAAGUCGAGCGAACGGACGAGAAGCUUGCUUCUCUGAUGUUAGCGGCGGACGGGUGAGUAACACGUGGAUAACCUACCUAUAAGACUGGGAUAACUUCGGGAAACCGGAGCUAAUACCGGAUAAUAUUUUGAACCGCAUGGUUCAAAAGUGAAAGACGGUCUUGCUGUCACUUAUAGAUGGAUCCGCGCUGCAUUAGCUAGUUGGUAAGGUAACGGCUUACCAAGGCAACGAUGCAUAGCCGACCUGAGAGGGUGAUCGGCCACACUGGAACUGAGACACGGUCCAGACUCCUACGGGAGGCAGCAGUAGGGAAUCUUCCGCAAUGGGCGAAAGCCUGACGGAGCAACGCCGCGUGAGUGAUGAAGGUCUUCGGAUCGUAAAACUCUAUUAUUAGGGAAGAACAUAUGUGUAAGUAACUGUGCACAUCUUGACGGUACCUAAUCAGAAAGCCACGGCUAACUACGUG
rnacentral:rRNA from 1 species